rnacentral:rRNA from 1 species
UACGUAGGGGGCAAGCGUUGUCCGGAAUCAUUGGGCGUAAAGCGCGCGUAGGCGGCCCGGUAAGUCCGUUGUGAAAGUCAAAGGCUCAACCUUUGAACGCCGAUGGAUACUGCCGGGCUAGAGUCCGGAAGAGGCGAGUGGAAUUCCUGGUGUAGCGGUGGAAUGCGCAGAUAUCAGGAGGAACACCGAUUGCGAAGGCAGCUCGCUGGGACGUAACUGACGCUGAGACGCGAAAGCGUGGGGAGCAAACAGG